AUUCCUACGGGAGGCAGCAGUAGGGAAUAUUGCUUAAUGGGCGCAAGCCUGAAGCAGCAACGCCGCGUGUGCGAUGAAGGCCUUCGGGUUGUAAAGCACUUUUGAGCGGGAAGAGGAAGGACGGUACCGUUCGAAUCAGCCUCGGCUAACUACGUGCCAGCAGCCGCGGUAAAACGUAGGAGGCGAGCGUUAUCCGGAUUUACUGGGUGUAAAGCGCGUGCAGGCGGUUGGAUAAGUUGGGUGUGAAGGCUCCUGGCUCAACUGGGAGAGGUCGCUCAAGACUGUCUGACUAGAGAGUGGUAGGGGAAGGUGGAAUUCCGGGUGUAGUGGUGAAAUGCGUAGAUAUCCGGAGGAACACCAGUGGCGAAAGCGGCCUUCUGGGCCAUUUCUGACGCUCAGACGCGAAAGCUAGGGUAGCAAACGGGAUUAGAGACCCCGGUAGUCCUAGCCGUAAACGAUGUGAACUUGGCGCUGGACGGGUCAAACCGAUCAGUGCCGAAGCAAACGCGAUAAGUUCACCACCUGGGGACUACGGCCGCAAGGUUAAAACUCAAAUGAAUUGACGGAAU
rnacentral:rRNA from 1 species